AACCGUACUUGUUCCGCAUGAUGC
rnacentral:siRNA from 1 species